AUACGGAGGGUGCAAGCGUUAAUCGGAAUUACUGGGCGUAAAGCGCGCGUAGGCGGCUUGAUAAGUCGGAUGUGAAAUCCCCGGGCUUAACCUGGGAAUUGCAUUCGAUACUGUCAGGCUAGAGUGUGGUAGAGGGAAGUGGAAUUUCCGGUGUAGCGGUGAAAUGCGUAGAUAUCGGAAAGAACAUCAGUGGCGAAGGCGGCUUCCUGGAUCAACACUGACGCUGAGGUGCGAAAGCGUGGGGAGCAAACAGGAUUAGAUACCCUAGUAGUCC
rnacentral:rRNA from 1 species